CUGAACAACGAAUCUGAAGUGCAGCGAGGCGGUGUCCACCACCUGCCUCUGCAUGGCAGUGAUUCCCUUGGUCAGGAAUCAGAUGGUCCAGAACGGCCGCAGGGGCCUGACCUUUUGUCCUCGUCCCUGUCUUCAUCCUGGACACUGAGGGAAAUCGGGCGUGUGCCCGAGCGGGGCAGGCCUGCUGUCCUCAUGAUCAGAAGGACCCAGAGAGAGGGGGUCCUGUCACAGCGGAGGGCGAGGGUGAGGAAACAGAGCUCGCUUCCCAAAGCUUCCCUGGUGCUGGCCUUUCCCCGGGCCCCAGGCCCUCCCCAGGACAGCAGGUGGGCCCCGCGGGGGCCUCCUCGGGGCCCUUGGAAGUGUGAUCUUCCAGCCAGCACAGCUCGCAUCAUCCUUCAGGGUGGUGUGAGAGCCCACCGAGUUCACCCAGCAAACGUCUGCUGUGUCGGGCGCUGUUCUAGGCCCAGAAAGACAAGUAAACGACCGGGCGGGACCCCCGCCUUCCUGGAGCUGAGCGGCAGCCCAGGCGCUCAGUAAUUACAGGAUCAUCACAGAGGUGACCCCCCCUGCCCCCCGGCCAAAGGCAGAGAGAGGUGAGCCUAUUUUCUGCGGUCUCUGUGAGGUCCUCUUUGCUCCAGACCAGCCACCCAGACUGAACUCUCUCUGGGCCCCCAUGCGCCCACCUGGGAAGGGCGUCACGUGACCCUGUGCUCAGUGUCCACGAGGUGGGCGCCUCCAGGAGCCCACGCGGUGAUGCGAGGGUCUAGGGAGAGGCCUGUUCGGAAAGCGUGUGCAGAGGGGCCGUGGGGCGGGGUGCUGGGGUACUGGGGUGCUGAGGGAGGGUAGUUGGGCCUGUGCGACCUGGAGGAUUUUAUUUUAGCCGCGAGAAGACAGUGACCGAACUGCACCGGCUGACCGUGGUCUCCGUACCUCUUUAGCAGCGAUGCACGUUUCCAGAACCCACAGUACCCCGUGAGGCCGGGAGGUGAGCCCUGUUCUCUCUGCCCCAAGCCCCAUCCGGCCGUGAAGAUUCGAGAUGAAAGAGGAGGAGCUGAAGGUGCUGUGGUUUUCCUGGUGCGUCUGUGCAGGAGGGCGGAGGCCCGCCGGGCGCUGGUCCCGAAGCCUCAGGUCCACCCUGCGGGACCAGUGGCAUCUGGGCGGCUCUGGAGCACUCCCCGCCGCCCCAACGAACCCCAGGCUGGGGUUGCAGUGCUCUCACUGCUGUGGUUGGACUGGAAACCGGGCCCUGUGGCAGGGAAGGGCUGGGGUACAGGAGACGAGAUGUGCAAGCCGAUGAGUCAGGAACACAGACCGGUGGGGACGUCCUCUGAACCCAGAGUGAGGCCUUAAAGACACUUGCAAGGGGAGCCCAGGUCACCCAGACCAAGUGGGUGAGCAGAGAGCGAAGAACACCCCGUCUGAACUCAAACCGCGACCUAAACGGAGAAACGGAAGCGCAAGGACGCCUCCCUGGGUUGCGGCUGAGAGGACACGAGGACGUGCCAGCGGCUCCCCGCCUGCAGCGGGCACCCCAGUGGGCACCCCGGCAGGCAACCGGCAUCCACACUGCUAGCUGAGAGCACACCAGGGUUCAGGGUCUGGUGCCAAGUGGGUGGGAAAAACCCAAGUGGCAGAGCUGGGCCCCAGAGUCUGCACUUCUGUGCUGCAACUGGAAGCAAAGUGCAAGGAGCGAGGAGGUCCAAGUGGGCGAUGCACUGACUGCUUGCCUGGAAUGCUGGCUCCUCACCUCAGCACAGCGCCCAGGGCCUGUGGGCAAGGAGCUCACCACUGAGCUUCAGCCUCUGCGGCCAGGCGGAGGUCCUGCCGCCUCCCCCGUGGGCCUGCUGCAGAGCCUGGCCGGGUGAGUGGCUGGCAGGGGCUGCACAAUGCUUCUUCCAGGCCUGGAAGCCAUGGCGGGCUUUUAGCCGCAGCUUCUAGAGAAGAGUGUCCAGAAAGGGGCGACUGACCCAGAGGGGCUCUUGGAAAUGAAGUUGACCUGGAAGUUUACAGGAGAACUGUGAACCAGGACCUUUGAAAGAUCAGUAACAAACAAUUCAGGGUUUGUUCUGGGUUCUUGGAGAGUGUUCCCGCCCGGGUCCUUGGACUCUUGUUCUAGAAGUUGAUAGGAGGCCAGACAGAAAUCCAGGCAUAUCUCCACUGCGGGCUCGGCAGCGCAAGGGAGCCAAGACCAGCAGCAGGUGCCCUGGGUGUUCCCUGAGGAGGGUGGGCCGGCCCCUUAAAUGGGGUGAGCGUGGGGCAGACUGGAGGGUGGCUUAGGUGGUCUGCCCCCCCACCCCCGGGGCGCUGUGCGCAGAGACCAUGCACAGGACCCGCCUUUGCUCCGGCGCCUCGGAAGUGCCCUUUUUGCAUCUUGCUGUUCAUAACCUUCUCGGCUGGGCGUGCCUGCAGCUAUUUUUAGUCCCGGCCCUUCAGUAUCUUUGUAUUUUGUUGCUCGAGGAGACGUCUGUCAGGUACAAGCACUGCUGCGGCCGGUCCCAGGGCCCAGACUGUCUUCAGGGCCUGACACAGUUUGCACAGCAGAGCGCGUGGAGGCUUCUUAGGGUGACGUGUGUGUGUGUUGGUUGCUGACCCAUGUCUGACUCUUUGCGACCCCAUGGGGUGCUGCCCGCCAGGCUCCUCCAUCCAUGUGAUCUUCCAGGCAAGAAUACUGGAGUGGGUUGCCGUUUCCUUCUCCAGGGGAUCUUCCCGACCCAGGGAUCAAACUCGGGUCUCCUGCAUUGCAGGCAGACUCUUUACUGUCUGAGCUACCAGGGAAGCCUUCUUAGGGGUCUGGUUAAAUACAUCAUAUGAAUGUAGUUGACUUUCCAAGCUAAGGCCACGUUUCUUUUUCUAAAAAAAAAAAAAAAAGGAAAAAAUUAUGGUAAAACACAUACAGUUUCCCUUUUACCCAUUCUGAAGUAUAAGGCCUGUGGUAUCACGUCCAUUCACACUGUUUUGUAGCCAUCGCACCAUCCAUCCAUAGGACUCCUCAUCUUGCAAAUCUGAAACUCUGCCCCAUUAGACACUAACUCCCGGUUCCUGUCCCCCGUGCCUGGCUUAUCCCACUGAGCACAGUGUCCUCGGGUUCCUCAUGUUGCAGCCUGUGGCAGAACUUCCUCCAUUUUUAAGGCAGAGUCCCCACGCUGAGCAGGGUCCUAGACAUUCAGAUGAGGGUUUCUUAUGGAGCCAGGUUGGCCGGGAGAAUCCUGCGGACUGAGUCCUCCCCUUCCGUCUGCGUCAGUGCCUUCUCAGCUCAUCUCUCUCCCCGUCUGUGUACCAGCCUCUGAACCUUCUCUGCCCUGUGUCCCCAGGUGUGUUCUCCAGGUGGACCCCAACUGCUCAUCACCCCGCACGUUCCCCCACCCGUGCCCAGGCCUCCCAUGGUCCAUCUGACUCCUCUCAUCCUCCUGCACGGCGCUGCGUCUUCCAGGAACUCCUCCUGAGGGCUCCAUCUGUGCGCGACGCACCCACCCAACCCACUUUACUUCUAGCCCAGCCCUCACUGUGCUGCACUGUAGUUAUUUGCUUUUCCAUUCUUUUCGUUAAAAAGAGCUUUGUUUUAAUUUUCUUUUGUUCCCCUGGUGCCUGGUACACAGUCGUCACUCAAUAAUUUGUAGGAUAAACAUAUGCAUGGUUAAGUGAAAAACUGCGAACUCACCUUCCAUAUAAACCAGGAACCAUCAUUAGGAUCAAUGGACUUAAUUAUUGCAUUUUAUGGACUGGGAUAAAGACCUUUUUGGUGGAGAUGUGAUAAAGUUUGGGGCAAAUAGGGAAGGGGCCGGUUCUGUUUAGAUCUGGUUCUGUGCAGAGGCAGUGGAAAAGGUGCCGUGGAAGGCCUCCUGCUCUCUGAGUCUAUAAAUACCUGUAUAGACACAUAGACUCUUAGGCUAUUCAAGGAUCGAUUCAGAAAGUGCUCAGAUCAGAGGGGACGGCUUCACAACUCUCCUGGUGGGCCUUCCUGGGCCCCAUGGUGGUCUCCAUCUCCCGCCCCGGCGAGUAACCAGGUAUCCGGCAGCACGGAUGCACCUGCGCCCCGCACCGUGAGCAGGUCCAUUCAUCCGGCCGCGCUCCGGAAGCUGAGCCUCGGGUGUGGAGGGGUGCGGCCCUCCCUGCGCGCCGGGCUGGGCAGCCGGGGGCGGGGCGCGCGCUCAAGGGCAUCAUUGUGCCCCCAGCACUCGGGGCGGGCCUGGAGCACAGAUGGCCUCAGUAAAUGUUUGCCGAAUGAGCCCAUGAAAGGGCGUUUUGUCGCUGGAUCUUUUCAUUUUUCCCUUGGCUUGCUCCCCGCUCUCCUUGAAAUAACAGCUGCUUUCAUGGGCCGGUCUUUCGUUCUUGGGCCGCUGGACUCGUCUUCAGGGCCGGCAAGAAAACACCAGGAAGGGACACGGCCAGCAGCCACGGUCUGGGCACAGCAGGUCUACGCUCUGGGAGGGGCUCGGGGGCCGAGCCAGGGAAGGGGCUGUGACGUUGUUGCAGACCCCCAGGGCUCUGAGCCGCCGGCCG
ensembl:lncRNA